rnacentral:rRNA from 1 species
AGUGAACGCUGGCGGCAGGCCUAACACAUGCAAGUCGAGCGAGGUGCGGCCGGGUGAGUAAUGUCUGGGAAACUGCCCGCUGGAGGGGGAUAACUACUGGAAACGGUGGCUAAUUCCGCACACCAUCUGAGGUGCCCAGAGGGGUUUAGGUAGUAGGUGGGGUCACGGCUCACCUAGGCGACCAUCCGUAGCUGGUCUGAGAGGGUGACCAGCCACACUGGAACGGAGACACGGUCCAGACUCCGACGGAAGGCGGCAGUGGGGAAUAGUGAACAGUGGGCGGAAGCCUGAUGCAGCCAUGCCUCGUGUGUGAAGAAGGCCUUCGGGUUGGAAAGCACUUUCAGCGGGGAGACGUUACCAGCAGAAGAAGCACCGGCUAACUCCGUGCCAGCAGCCGCGGUAAUAC